rnacentral:rRNA from 1 species
UACGGGGGGUGCAAGCGUUAUUCGGAAUCAUUGGGCGUAAAGGGCGCGUAGGCGGUUUUUUAAGUCGGAUGUGAAAGCCCGGGGCUUAACCCCGGAAGUGCAUUUGAAACUGAAAGACUUGAGUAUGGGAGAGGGAAGUGGAAUUCCUGGUGUAGAGGUGAAAUUCGUAGAUAUCAGGAGGAACACCGGUGGCGAAGGCGACUUCCUGGACCAAUACUGACGCUGAGGCGCGAAGGCGUGGGUAGCAAACAGGAUUAGAUACCCUGGUAGUCCACGCAGUAAACGGUGAACACUAGGUGUAGCGGGUAUUGACCCCUGCUGUGCCGAAGUUAACGCAUUAAGUGUUCCGCCUGGGAAGUACGAUCGCAAGAUUA